AACGAACGCUGGCGGCAUGCCUAACACAUGCAAGUCGAGCGAGACCUUCGGGUCUAGUGGCGCACGGGUGCGUAACGCGUGGGAAUCUGCCCUUGGGUUCGGAAUAACAGUUAGAAAUGACUGCUAAUACCGGAUGAUGACUUCGGUCCAAAGAUUCAUCGCCCAAGGAUGAGCCCGCGUCGGAUUAGCUAGUUGGUGGGGUAAAGGCCCACCAAGGCGACGAUCCGUAGCUGGUCUGAGAGGAUGAUCAGCCACACUGGGACUGAGACACGGCCCAGACUCCUACGGGAGGCAGCAGUGGGGAAUAUUGGACAAUGGGCGAAAGCCUGAUCCAGCAAUGCCGCGUGAGUGAUGAAGGCCCUAGGGUUGUAAAGCUCUUUUACCCGGGAUGAUAAUGACAGUACCGGGAGAAUAAGCCCCGGCUAACUCCGUGCCAGCCGCCGCAGUAAAAC
rnacentral:rRNA from 1 species